UACGUAGGCAGCGAGCGUUGUUCGGAGUUACUGGGCGUAAAGAGUGCGUAGGCGGUUUUCUAAGUUUGGUGUGAAAUCUCCCGGCUUAACUGGGAGGGUGCGCCGAAGACUGGAAGGCUUGAGUAUGGGAGAGGUAAGCGGAAUUCCUGGUGUAGCGGUGAAAUGCGUAGAUAUCAGGAGGAACACCUGCGGUGUAGACGGCUUACUGGACCAUCACUGACGCUGAAGCACGAAAGCGUGGGUAGCAAACAGG
rnacentral:rRNA from 1 species